GGGUGGUUGGUCAGGGUGGAUGGUCAGGGUGGGUGGUCAGGGUGGAUGGUCAGGGUGGAUGGUGAGGGUGUUUGGUCAGGGUGGGUGGUCAGGGUGGAUGGUCAGGGUGGGUGGUCAGGGUGGAUGGGUAGGGUGGUCAGGGUGGAUGGUCAGGAUGGAUGGUCAGGGUGGUUGGUCAGGGUGGGUGGUCAGGGUGGAUAGGGUGGGUGGUUGGUCAGGGUGGGUGGUCAGGGUGGGUGGUCAGGGUGGAUGGUCAGGGUGGAUGGUCAUGGGUGGUCAGGGUGGUUGGUCAGGGUGGGUGGUCAGGGUGGGUGGUCAGGGUGGGGUGGUCAGGGUGGAUGGUCAGGGUGGAUGGUCAGGGUCAGGUUGGAUGGUCAGGGUGUUUGGUCAGGAUGGCUGUUCAGGCAUGUAACGUGAACGUCUAGCAACCCAAAGGUUGCGUGUUUGAAUCUCAUCAUGGCGUCCCUAAGAGGAAACGAGGAACUGGAGAGGAAUGACUGAGAGCGUUUCCAGAUGUGAAUUUACAGUGGGUGGAGAGAAAUCAUGUUACAGGAGAACCUUUGUGUAAAAACACAAGACCGU
ensembl:lncRNA